AUGAAAAGUCAGAGAGUCCGACUAUGGUGCUUUAAAAGCACCAAGCAGUUGGUGCUUGUAAAUUUACUACUGUUAGAUCUAUUUUUUAAUUAUUUCUAUCUGUCAAAUAAUUACUAUUCAACCAACUACCCACUCGACCCUAAAGGACCAUUAUCAUCGUAACCGCAGAUCCCUUAAAAAUCUACAAGUACUAAUGAUUUGCUACAUUUAAAAGCACAGGAGCUUAAUUCUCUCUCUCUCUUUAUAUGUAUAUAUCUAUACAAAUCUUCAUCCAACGGCCUAAAAUUCACAAGUACCAAUGACUUAAGCAUAAGAGCCCAAUUAUAUUUAUACUAGUGAAGAGGCUCGCGCUUCGCAGCGAAUAGAAAUAAUUAAUAAUAAAAGAAUAUCAAAUAUUUUUUUUAUGUAUAUCAUUUGCCACACCUGUCAAAGGUUCUUCGUUGUUGGUGGUGGGGAUAGAACCGACGAUACCUUCUCUGGUGACAAUGAUAGUGAUGGUGACGACGAUCCCUUCGGCGCAAUGGAGAGGGAAGGCGCGCACACAUCAGUGAGAAAGAGAGAGGAAGGAAGGAAGGCAAUGAUUUAGAGGAAAAAAUGAGGGAUGGAGAGGUGAGGAUUGUAGAUGACGACAGAUCGUUUAGAUAGAUUAAUUGAAAGUUUGAUGGAGGAAACGGGAAGGUUAUUAUGAAUUAAUUAGAAAUAGAAAUGUGAUAAUUAUAAAUGGUAGUGAAAGGUAAAGGAAAUGGAAAGAGUUAUGAUGAAUUAAUUAGAAAUAAAAAUGUGAAGAUUACAUAUAGCUCGGAGAAGGUUAUGAUGAAUUAAUUAGAAAUAAAAAUACGAGAAUUAUAAAUGGCAAUAGGAGGUGGAGGAAAGGGGAAGGAGAAGGGUCAUGAUAAAUUAAUUAGAAAUAGAAAGGUAAGGAUCAUACCUGGCUGUGGAAGCAUUUAAAUAUAUUAAUUGAAGGUUUAAUAGGAGAACAAUUUAUAUGUAUCAAUUAGAUAUAGUAAUUAAAAACUUAAUAGAGGGAAGGGUAAAGAUCACAUGCGGUGAGGAUGAAGAAAAGCUUGACACGUGGACAAAAAAUAUUGAGAAUUCAUAUAGUUUAAUAGAUACAUACAUGCAAUCAUUCCAAAAUAAUUCAUUCUUAUACUUAUAUCCACUAUAAAGAUAACUGAUUAGAUAUUGUUAUUCCUAUAUAAAAUAACCGUGAUAAAAUAGACUUUCUCCCAUUUGUAUACGUGUCGCCCUUU
rnacentral:lncRNA from 1 species